rnacentral:rRNA from 1 species
CGUAGGUGGCAAGCGUUGUCCGGAUUUAUUGGGUUUAAAGGGUGCGUAGGCGGUCUUAUAAGUCAGUGCUGAAAUAUCCCGGCUUAACCGGGAGGGUGGCAUUGAUACUGUAGGACUUGAGUAAAGUUGAGGUUGGCGGAAUUGACGGUGUAGCGGUGAAAUGCUUAGAUAUCGUCAAGAACACCGAUAGUGUAGACAGCUUACUAAGCUUUAACUGACGCUGAGGCACGAAAGUGUGGGGAUCAAACAGGAUUAGAUACCCUGGUAGUCCACACUGUAAACGUUGAAGACUCGCUGUUGGCGAUACACAGUCAGCGGCUGAGAGAAAUCGUUAAGUCUUCCACCUGGGGAGUACGCCGGCAACGGUG